UUGGCGCGCGAGAUAGUCGGCUGCCAAAAAACCUUUCCCACGUCGUGUCGCGUUGAGGAAGGUCGUUCGAGUGACCCAUUGCCAUAACGGUUUCAUUGUGUACAUCCAGUACAACUAUACAAUCACAAUACAUAUCAAUGCGUACACAAUCGAAUUAGCUCCAAGAAAGUGUCAUAAAGCGGCUCAAGUGAUGGCGAUCCACUAGACAGUUGACUGGAGAAGCUGCCAUACCACUACAAAAGUUGUAUCUAAAUAUUCGUUAAGCCAAGCAGCCGAACGAGAAAUGUCUCCAGACUCAAAAGAUAUGUCCUAGGAAUAACCACGAACAGGAUCCUGCGUUUUUUUCUGGUAACUUGGAUUGUCACAUUUCAAGGACUGCGAGAAACGGGGAAAAGAAGAGGAAAAAGUGGGUUAGGUUGUUGUGAUGUUUCGUCACAUGUAUACGUAGCCACUCGUCUAGCCUCUCUUUUAACUGCGUCUACAGGCCAACAACCUGUAGUUCUGUCAUGAGAUUGUUAUUGUUUCACGUUUCGUAAUUCUGAGGUUUGUUUGCUUUUUGAUGAAACAGGUUACUGAACAGCGCUUGCCAUCUAGCGGUAAUUUUCUGCCAGCUUGUGCAAGCAACAAAUUAUCCUACCGGUUUUUGAAGAAAGGGAUC